UGGGGAAUAUUGCGCAAUGGGCGGAAGCCUGACGCAGCGACGCCGCGUGAGGGAUGACGGCCUUCGGGUUGUAAACCUCUUUCAGCAGGGACGAAUUUGACGGUACCUGUAGAAGAAGCACCGGCCAACUACGUGCCAGCAGCCGCGGUAAUACGUAGGGUGCGAGCGUUGUCCGGAAUUAUUGGGCGUAAAGAGCUCGUAGGCGGUCUGUCGCGUCGAAUGUGAAAACCCGGGGCUCAACUCCGGGCUUGCAUUCGAUACGGGCAGGCUAGAGUUCGGUAGGGGAGUCUGGAAUUCCUGGUGUAGCGGUGAAAUGCGCAGAUAUCAGGAGGAACACCGGUGGCGAAGGCGGGACUCUGGGCCGAUACUGACGCUGAGGAGCGAAAGCGUGGGGAGCGAACA
rnacentral:rRNA from 1 species